rnacentral:rRNA from 1 species
GACGAACGCUGGCGGCGUGCUUAACACAUGCAAGUCGAACGGAAAGGCCCUGCUUGCAGGGUACUCGAGUGGCGAACGGGUGAGUAACACGUGGGUGAUCUGCCCUGCACUUCGGGAUAAGCCUGGGAAACUGGGUCUAAUACCGGAUAGGAGCCAUUUUUAGUGUGAUGGUUGGAAAGUUUUUUCGGUGUAGGAUGAGCUCGCGGCCUAUCAGCUUGUUGGUGGGGUAAUGGCCUACCAAGGCGGCGACGGGUAGCCGGCCUGAGAGGGUGGACGGCCACAUUGGGACUGAGAUACGGCCCAGACUCCUACGGGAGGCAGCAGUGGGGAAUAUUGCACAAUGGGCGCAAGCCUGAUGCAGCGACGCCGCGUGGGGGAUGACGGCCUUCAGGUUGUAAACUCCUUUCGCUAGGGACGAAGCUUUUUGUGACGGUACCUAGAUAAGAAGCACCGGCUAACUACGUG